CUGGCUCAGGAUGAACGCUAGCGACAGGCUUAACACAUGCAAGUCGAGGGGCAGCACGGGAGUAGCAAUACAACUGGUGGCGACCGGCGCACGGGUGAGUAACGCGUAUGCAACCUACCUAUCAGAGGGGAAUAACCCGGCGAAAGUCGGACUAAUACCGCAUAAAACAGGGGCACCGCAUGGUGAUAUUUGUUAAAGAGAUUCGCUGAUAGAUGGGCAUGCGUUCCAUUAGGUAGUUGGUGAGGUAACGGCUCACCAAGCCGACGAUGGAUAGGGAACUGAGAGGUUGGUCCCCCACACUGGUACUGAGACACGGACCAGACUCCUACGGGAGGCAGCAGUGAGGAAUAUUGGUCAAUGGGCGGGAGCCUGAACCAGCCAAGUCGCGUGAAGGAAGAAGGAUCUAUGGUUACGUAAACUUCUUUGCGAGGGGAAUAAAGUGCAGGACGUGUCCCGUUUUGUAUGUACCCUGAGAAUAAGGAUCGGCUAACUCCGUGCCAGCCGCAGC
rnacentral:rRNA from 1 species